GACGAACGCUGGCGGCGUGCUUAACACAUGCAAGUCGAACGGAAAGGCCCUUCGGGGUACUCGAGUGGCGAACGGGUGAGUAACACGUGGUGAUCUGCCCUGCACUUUGGGAUAAGCCUGGGAAACUGGGUCUAAUACCGGAUAGGACUACGGCCUGCAUGGGUUGUGGUGGAAAGCUUUUGCGGUGUGGGAUGGGCCCGCGGCCUAUCAGCUUGUUGGUGGGGUGAUGGCCUACCAAGGCGACGACGGGUAGCCGGCCUGAGAGGGUGACCGGCCACACUGGGACUGAGAUACGGCCCAGACUCCUACGGGAGGCAGCAGUGGGGAAUAUUGCACAAUGGGCGCAAGCCUGAUGCAGCGACGCCGCGUGGGGGAUGACGGCC
rnacentral:rRNA from 1 species